GGGGGCAGCUGGAGUACUGGUGUUUCCCCUGGUCUUCAAAACCAUGUGCGGCCUACGGUGUAGGCUGGGUGGGUUCGAUUCCCACGUGCUCCC
rnacentral:tRNA from 1 species